rnacentral:rRNA from 1 species
GAAUAUUGGACAAUGGGGGCAACCCUGAUCCAGCCAUGCCGCGUGUGUGAAGAAGGCCUUAGGGUUGUAAAGCACUUUAAGCAGGGAGGAAGGCUGCAAGGUUAAUAGCCUUGCGGAUUGACGUUACCUGCAGAAUAAGCACCGGCUAACUCCGUGCCAGCAGCCGCGGUAAUACGGAGGGUGCAAGCGUUAAUCGGAAUUACUGGGCGUAAAGCGCGCGUAGGCGGUUUGGUAAGUGUGAUGUGAAAGCCCAGGGCUUAACCUUGGAACUGCAUCACAUACUGCCAGGCUAGAGUACGGUAGAGGGGGGUAGAAUUCCACGUGUAGCGGUGAAAUGCGUAGAGAUGUGGAGGAAUACCAGUGGCGAAGGCGGCCCCCUGGAUCGAUACUGACGCUGAGGUGCGAAAGCGUGGGGAGCAAACAGG